CCUACGGGUGGCAGCAGUGGGGAAUAUUGGACAAUGGGGGGAACCCUGAUCCAGCGACGCCGCGUGAGUGAAGAAGUAUUUCGGUAUGUAAAGCUCUAUCAGCAGGGAAGAAAGAAAUGACGGUACCUGACUAAGAAGCCCCGGCUAACUACGUGCCAGCAGCCGCGGUAAUACGUAGGGGGCAAGCGUUAUCCGGAUUUACUGGGUGUAAGGGGAGCGUAGACGGCGAUGCAAGUCUGAAGUGAAAGGCGGGGGACCAACCCCCGGACUGCGUUGGAAACUGUAUGGCUGGAGUGCAGGGGAGGUAAGUAGAAUUCCUGGUGUAGCGGUGAAAUGCGUAGAUAUUAGGAGGAACACCAGUGGCGAAGGCGACUUUCUGGACAGUAACUGACGUUGAGGCACGAAAGUGUGGGGAGCAAACAGGAUUAGAUACCCCUGUAGUC
rnacentral:rRNA from 1 species